rnacentral:rRNA from 1 species
AACGAACGCUGGCGGCGUGCUUAACACAUGCAAGUCGCACGUGAAAGUCUUCGGACGAGUAAAGUGGCGCACGGGUGAGUAACAUACAGGAACGUGCCUCGGUGAGGGGGAUAACUACCGGAAACGGUAGCUAAUACCAGAUACUUUCGAUGUCCGCAUGGACGACGAACGAACGACGGAGCAAUCUGUCACUGAAGGAUGGGCCUGCGGCGCAUUAGCGAGUUGGUGGGGUAACGGCUCACCAAGGCGACGAUGCGUAGCCGACCUGAGAGGGGGAUCGGCCACACUGGGACUGAGACACGGCCCAGACUCCUACGGGAGGCAGCAGUAGGGAAUCUUCCGCAAUGGGCGAAAGCCUGACGGAGCAACGCCGCGUGAGUGAUGAAGGUUUUCGGAUCGUAAAGCUCUGUUGCCAGGGAAGAACGUUUUCUAGAGUAACUGCUAGAGAAGUGACGGUACCUGAGAAGAAAGCCCCGGCUAACUACGUGCCAGCAGCCGCGGUAA